UUCAUCUGAUUUGCACUGAUUUUUAGUUUUGCGCGCAUUUUAACUGAUGAUCAGUUAAAAUGUGCGCAAAACUAAAAAUCAGUGCAAAUCAGAUGA
rnacentral:pre_miRNA from 13 species